UACGUAGGGGGCAAGCGUUGUCCGGAAUCAUUGGGCGUAAAGCGCGCGUAGGCGGCCCGGUAAGUCCGCUGUGAAAGUCAAAGGCUCAACCUUUGAAUGUCAGCGGAUACUGCCGGGCUAGAGUCCGGAAGAGGCGAGUGGAACUCCUGGUGUAGCGGUGGAAUGCGCAGAUAUCAGGAAGAACACCAACGGCGAAGGCAGCUCGCUGGGACGUUACUGACGCUGAGACGCGAAAGCGUGGGGAGCAAACAGG
rnacentral:rRNA from 1 species